UCUAAGUAGAAAUGCGGGUAUGAGCAGCCAGGAUAUUGAUAGGGGCAGUCAAGAAAAGAAUUCUACUGAAAUAAGGUAAGGAAGCCAAUCUACUCUACUGAAGCAGCAGAAGACAGGGAGACCUGAUGUGACCCAGCUGACAGCCAACACCAACAUGAUAAUGAGGCCACCUUGGACAGUCCAGCUGACUAGCUAGUAGAAUGCAGCUGCCUGAAUGAGCCAAGAAGGCAAAUCAGCAGACAAACCACCCUGCCAACCCAUGGAACCA
rnacentral:lncRNA from 1 species